rnacentral:piRNA from 1 species
GCAAAUGUUUAUGAGUGAUGACCAUGUGC